AGUGAACGCUGGCGGUAGGCCUAACACAUGCAAGUCGAACGGCAGCACAGUAAGAGCUUGCUCUUACGGGUGGCGAGUGGCGGACGGGUGAGGAAUACAUCGGAAUCUACUUUUUCGUGGGGGAUAACGUAGGGAAACUUACGCUAAUACCGCAUACGACCUACGGGUGAAAGCAGGGGAUCUUCGGACCUUGCGCGAUUGAAUGAGCCGAUGUCGGAUUAGCUAGUUGGCGGGGUAAAGGCCCACCAAGGCGACGAUCCGUAGCUGGUCUGAGAGGAUGAUCAGCCACACUGGAACUGAGACACGGUCCAGACUCCUACGGGAGGCAGCAGUGGGGAAUAUUGGACAAUGGGCGAAAGCCUGAUCCAGCCAUACCACGUGGGUGAAGAAGGCCUUCGGGUUGUAAAGCCCUUUUGUUGGGAAAGAAAAGCAGCAGGUUAAUACCCCGCUGUUCUGACGGUACCCAAAGAAUAAGCACCGGCUAACUUCGUG
rnacentral:rRNA from 1 species